AGGACGAACGCUGGCGGCGUGCUUAACACAUGCAAGUGGAGCGACGAACCAGGCUUCGGCCUGGGGCAGAGCCGCGAACGGGUGAGUAACACGUGGGUAACCUGCCCUGAUGACUGGGACAACCCGGGGAAACCCGGGCUAAUACCGGAUGUGCUGCUCUCACACCAGUGGGAGUAGGAAAGGAAGCUUCGGCCUCCGCAUCAGGAUGGGCCCGCGGCCCAUUAGCUUGUUGGUGAGGUAACGGCUCACCAAGGCUUCGAUGGGUAGCUGGUCUGAGAGGACGAUCAGCCACACUGGGACUGAGACACGGCCCAGACUCCUACGGGAGGCAGCAGUGGGGAAUCUUGCGCAAUGCGCGAAAGCGUGACGCAGCAACGCCGCGUGGGGAAGACGGCCUUCGGUUGUAACCCUUUCAGGAGGGACGAGCCGAGCGGUGAAUAGCCGACUCGGGUGACGGUACCUCCAGAAGAAGCCCGGCUAACUACGUGCCAGCAGCCG
rnacentral:rRNA from 1 species